rnacentral:rRNA from 1 species
AACCUCCGCAAUGUGAGAAAUCGCGACGGGGGGAUCCCAAGUGCCAUUCUUAACGGGAUGGCUUUUCAUUAGUGUAAAGAGCUUUUGGAAUAAGGGCUGGGCAAGACCGGUGCCAGCCGCCGCGGUAACACCGGCAGCUCUAGUGGUAGCAGUUUUUAUUGGGCCUAAAGCGUCCGUAGCCGGUUUAAUAAGUCUCUGGUGAAAUCCUGUAGCUUAACUGUGGGAAUUGCUGGAGAUACUAUUAGACUUGAGACCGGGAGAGGUUAGAGGUACUCCCAGGGUAGAGGUGAAAUUCUGUAAUCCUGGGAGGACCGCCUGUUGCGAAGGCGUCUAACUGGAACGGUUCUGACGGUGAGGGACGAAAGUUAGGGCGCGAACCGGAUUAGAUACCCGGGUAGUCCUAACUGUAAACGAUGCGGACUUGGUGUUGGGGUGGCUUUGAGCUGCUCCAGUGCCGAAGGGAAGCUGUUAAGUCCGCCGCCUGGGAAGUACGGUCGCAAGACUGAAACUUAAAGGAAGU